rnacentral:rRNA from 1 species
ACCAGACUCCUACGGGAGGCAGCAGUGGGGAAUAUUGCACAAUGGGGGAAACCCUGAUGCAGCGACGCCGCGUGAAUGAAGAAGUAAUUCGUUAUGUAAAGCUCUAUCAGCAGGGAAGAAAAUGACGGUACCUGAGUAAGAAGCCCCGGCUAACUACGUGCCAGCAGCCGCGGUAAUACGUAGGGGGCAAGCGUUAUCCGGAUUUACUGGGUGUAAAGGGAGCGUAGACGGCAUGGCAAGUCAGAUGUGAAAGCCCGGGGCUCAACCCCGGGACUGCAUUUGAAACUGUCAGGCUGGAGUGCAGGAGAGGUAAGUGGAAUUCCUAGUGUAGCGGUGAAAUGCGUAGAUAUCAGGAGGAACACCGGUGGCGAAGGCGGCCUGCUGGACUGCAACUGACGUUGAGGCCCGAAAGCGUGGGGAGCAAACAGGAUUAGAUACCCGGGUAC